GCACUGCCGAGGAGUCCAACAAUAGGACGAAACGAUCGUCCAUUGC
rnacentral:hammerhead_ribozyme from 1 species